rnacentral:rRNA from 1 species
UACGUAGGAGACGAGCGUUGUCCGGAGUUACUGGGCGUAAAGGGCGCGCAGGCGGCCGCCCGCAUGUGUGGUGAAAGCUCCUGGCUUAACUAGGAGAGGUCCAUGCAGACGGGGCGGCUUGAGCGUCGGAGAGGGGCAUGGAAUUCCGGGUGGAGCGGUGAAAUGCGUAGAGAUCCGGAGGAACACCAAUGGCGAAGGCAGUGCCCUGGCCGACGGCUGACGCUCAGGCGCGAAAGCGUGGGGAGCAAACAGG